AACGAACGCUGGCGGCAUGCCUAACACAUGCAAGUCGAACGAUCCCUUCGGGGAUAGUGGCGCACGGGUGCGUAACGCGUGGGAACCUGCCCUUAGGUUCGGAAUAACUCAGAGAAAUUUGAGCUAAUACCGGAUAAUGUCUUCGGACCAAAGAUUUAUCGCCUUUGGAUGGGCCCGCGUUGGAUUAGCUAGUUGGUGGGGUAAGGGCCUACCAAGGCGACGAUCCAUAGCUGGUCUGAGAGGAUGAUCAGCCACACUGGGACUGAGGCACGGCCCAGACUCCUACGGGAGGCAGCAGUGGGGAAUAUUGGACAAUGGGCGAAAGCCUGAUCCAGCAAUGCCGCGUGAGUGAUGAAGGCCUUAGGGUUGUAAAGCUCUUUUACCCGGGAUGAUAAUGACAGUACCGGGAGAAUAAGCCCCGGCUAACUCCGUG
rnacentral:rRNA from 1 species